rnacentral:rRNA from 1 species
GAACUGAAGAGUUUGAUCAUGGCUCAGAUUGAACGCUGGCGGCAGGCCUAACACAUGCAAGUCGAGCGGAUGAGUGGAGCUUGCUCCAUGAUUCAGCGGCGGACGGGUGAGUAAUGCCUAGGAAUCUGCCUGGUAGUGGGGGACAACGUUUCGAAAGGAACGCUAAUACCGCAUACGUCCUACGGGAGA